rnacentral:rRNA from 1 species
AUGGCAUUAGAGCUCCCUGAUUACCUGCAGAAGCCCACCUAUACCACGCGACAACAACGUCAGGCCGGCGAGAUGGAGCAGCGUGUGGAGGAGCUAGCGGCGGUGCUCAAGACCAUCCAGGAGCAGAACGCCGCCAUCCAGAAGGCGGUCGAGGCGACCACAACCCUCUUCGCCGAGAUCCAGCCGGUGGUGACCGAUCUGGCGGCGUGGAAGCCCGUCCUGGAGCAGUCCGUCGCGGAUCUGCGUCAGGAGCUGGGCGGCGUACGGAAGGAGGUGGACGCCGUCGGUCGCAACCCCGUCCUCGCCCGCAAGCCUUCGGACUUCCCUCCGAUCCUUCCAUCGCCGGGCAGCGCGCCGUUCUUCAACCCCGGCAGCAGCGCCCACAGGCCAGAUGGCCGUCGCGUCGAUCCAGCACACCGGGGGGUUGGCUCUGGGGUAGUCACCACCCUAGUCCCACCUCUAGUCACGGGUACGUACCAGAUUCUGAAUCCUCCUGGGAGUCAACUAGUCGCCGAUCACCGAUCGAGAGCCUCGGGGCGGUCACCGACGCGUGGCCAGUCCCGAUCUGGUAGUCCACGCAUUCCUCGAUCCAGCAGUCCCUUCCAACAUCGCCCUUCCGUCCUGCCUAGGCCUAAAAUGGAUUUUCCUCCAUUUUGGGGAGAGCGACCGCGCAGUUGGAAGCAAAAUUGUGAGUCUAAUUUUAGGAUCUUCCAUUUGGAUCCAGAGUUAUGGGUCGACACUGCUGCUAUGCAUUUCACAGGGGCUGCCAUGGUUUGGUUAGAGAACAAUGAGUUCGAUCUUAGCCACAUGGAUUGGGGAAGGUUUUGCACCAUUGUGUGUGAUCAGUUUGAGCGAAACGAGUUCACUGGCUUGCUUCGCCAGCUGUUUCACUUGCGUCAGAUAGAGUCUGUGUCCGAGUACGUGAGUAGAUUCACUGAAAUCAUGCACUCCCUGAUGGCACAUAGUACUACUUGGGACCCAGCUCUGUUUCCAUCGAGAUUUGUUGAUGGGUUGCGUGAUGAAAUUCGUGUUGUUGUUUUGGUGCAUAAUCCCAAAGACCUCGAUACUGCUGUUUCUCUGGCUUAUUUACAGGAGGAGGCGCGGGAGAUCUCCAAGCAUAGAGAACCAAAGCGCUCUGACAGUGGUGCUGGAAAUGGGACAAGCAGUCGAUCUCAUCUUCGGGGUGCCAUGCCUCUGCCUGCCCCACCCGGGCGACCACCGCCUACGGUUGCCACACCGCGAGAGGACCGUCGUGCUGCUGCAACAGAAGGACAGCGUGGCGGUAACACUGUUGAAGACCGUUUGUCCACUCUGAAAGCAUAA